UGAGCUAUUGAAUGAACAAAGAUAUUAGUAGCUCAUGUAAGUUUAUGAACAACAUUAAUUUUAUGUUCAUGUUCAUGAACAAGGUUAAUUAUUAGAAAAACUCAAAAGUUUUUUUUAAAAAAAAAAGAAGAAAAAGAAAAACUCAAAACUCGUUUAAUAAACUAUAUUGACUUAAAAAAUCUUCGUCCAACUCUCUCGAACAACAAAAGAUUGAAAUACUCUGUUCUCUCUCCUCUAAAAAGAAAACCCUCCUGAAACCUAGAACUCCCCGGAGUUCCGGCGCCGCGGCCGGUUCUCCGGCGGGUUCCUCUUCUAUGUAUUAAGCUUUUCUUUGCUCGUGUUCCAGCGUUGAAGGUGAAGUGGGACCAGGCUCCCAGCGGGCUUCAAACUCCGCUUAGUAUUUAACCUCUUAUCGCUGGAAGUUCUCAAGGUGGUUUCCUCAGUUUUCAGUUUUAAAGUUCUAGUAGCUUUGUGAUUUGGGUACUCGAGGGUAAGAAGGUCGUUUUUCAAUUGGGUUUAAAGUUUCGUUUGACGAAACAAGAUUCGAAGGCUAGCUCUAACGCCGCCGACUUCGUGUGAUCGAAAAGAUCGAGUUGGUAAAGGUAAAGUUAGAGUUAGGGUUUGUUCGUUUUCUUGCGUUGGGAUUUAUUCUCGUUCCUUUAAUUUCCUCUGCCCAUUUUCUGUUUAUGUCACCAUUUCGGGUUUGUCUCUUGGUUGUCUUGCCGCCGGUGAUGUUAGUCCAGUUUGACCUUCACGGUAAAGGCGGCGGUAAUCGGAGGCUGGUGACUGUUGGUUGGUUUCUUGCUUAUUUAAUGGCUUUUUUUGGUUUAAUUUUAGUUUUCCUUGCUUCUAUGGGUCUUUGCUAUGAGUUUGAUGCUAUGAGAUGCGGUUCUCUUUGUUCUAAUUGGGGUUUGUCAAGUUUAAUUGUGGGUUUAAAGGGGUGUGUCCUGCUCCUGUUUAGAAUUUUGGUUAUGCGAGGUUUGGUUUCGUGGGGAAUUUGCCAUUGUUAUGGUAUGGUUUGGUUCAUAUGGUUGGUUAGGGUUUGUUGUUUCCUCUGGAUUUUCUCAGUCGAAAGAGUUUCAAAAGGUUGUCCCUUGAUGUCCUUUGUUUCAGCUUAGUAGUGGAUUUUCAAUCUAUUACUUUGAAAAAUGUCUAUCUUAACACUGCUCCCCAAAAUGAAAUGUUUGGGGGCCUCCGAAAGGUUAUUUUGGAGGUUUAUAAUAUGUCAAUGGUCUCUUUCCUUGAGAAAAGAUCAAUGGUACCCACACUUAAGGGUAUCGAAUCACUUGUAAGGGUGAUUCAAUGUGUGUUGUUACGCCCUAAUCGCUAUGUUUUCCUACCCCAUUUACUUAUUGAUAUAGGCACUCGGUGUCCUUUUCAACUCGUAAAUAUGUAUGCCAGAAUUUGUUUGUUCGGCGUCCUCCAAUGCAUUCUCCAAGUUCAAGAGAAUGUGGAAUACAUAAUCAGAAAGGUGUGUUCCUCAUUGCAUGCUCAAAGGAUAAUGGCAGAUUUUUCAAACCAACAAGAUCAAUUGUGGAAGUACUUUAAUUUAAUGUAUUCUCGUUGUAAUAGAGGAGCUAAUAGUGCUCUUAGUUUGUAAUACCUUUAUUUUAUUUAAACCGUUGUCAAAAAAAAAAAAAAUGACUUAUUGAAAAUUGUUAAUUUAACAUUAUUGGUUCAUCGAUCCAAUA